ensembl:lncRNA
CUCUGUUUUGCCAGCGUUUCCCUCGUUUAAAUUCCAUAAAAACAACCAUAUAAACCAUCGUUUCCUGCUUGUUGUGUACUCCAUCCUGUACACGUCACACUUCCUGAGUAAUUCCAGUCACAUCUGUUGAAUUCUGGAUUCUGAUUGGUCAGAAGGUGUUGAUUCAUUUUCUCUAACAGCAGCGCUGUCGUUCUGAUACGUUAUCCGUUGUCGAUUAUUUUCCGAUAAUGGAAACACUACGCGGUGCUUUAUUCCUUACUUAGCUUGUGUCCUGUUUUUGAAUGUUUGUUUGAGAUGUUAGCAUCACAUUUUGCUAACAAAACUCCUCCGCAGUUCUAGUGAACGACGCUACUUUGCUGCAGCGCCGUCCAGAUCCCACACCCCGCUUAGCUUCUGAACACGUUUUCUUCAGGAACUCGGAUCCACCCUGUAAAUUACAGAUGUUCCGGGUCUUUCCUCACUUCCACAAGGACGAUGCACCUCCUCAAAAUGCUGGUGUGGGGAACUGGUUUUAAAAAUAGCUGCAGGCCCGGGAGUGAUGAAGGAGGUGGCGAGCCUUAACCGUGACUUCACUCCGAGUGUUUCUAAGAAUAAGGAACUUUAGAUAUGCACAUUCCUCACUGCGCUCAGAGUAAAAACUCCACUUCACCUUCACAGUUUUUCUUCUGCAGUGUGUCGCUUUCGGAAGAAUGCGAGAAAGCGGAUUAAAAACUUAAGCGGUGAACCACUUACAAAAGAGUUGCAAAAUAUCUUCGUAUCACAGAAGUAGAUAAAGGGACAUGUCAAACUAACCCUAUUAAAAAAAAAAAUAGCUUCGUUUUAGGUCAUCUGAAACGCUAGCAAGUGAUUAGCUAGAUUAGCUAGGAGUUGUUUAGAUUUUGCGAGAUUAGCUAGGAGUUGUUUAGAUUUAGCUAGAUUAGCUAGGAGUUGUUUACAUGUAGCUAGUUUAGCUAGGAGUUGUUUACAUGUAGCUAGAUUAGCUAGGAGUUGUUUACAUUUAGCUAGAUUAGCUAGGAGAUGUUUACAUGUAGCUAGAUUAGCUAGGAGAUGUUUACAUGGAGCUAGAUUAGCUAGGAGUUGUUUACAUUUAGCUAGAUUAGCUAGGA